UCGAGGUCGAAGUGGAACACUCUCAAGUCUCAUCCUCGGCCCUCGGGGAAAUUUGUGCCAGUGCCAUUGUUGAAUGUUGAUAUACGAAGAUGGAAUGGAAUUUUCUUCGACCGAGAGUGGUCUUAUAUCGGGAUGCGUAGUUUACACAUGAACUUUUGUCCAUGAAGAAGCAACAAAAUAAAAUAUGCCACGAGAACAAAAAAAAAAUUGUUGUUUUUUUUGUCUUUAUUUUCGUUCAAAAAUCAAGGGUCAUGGUUGGUGAGCUCAAUACAAGUCAUUAAUGGUGAUGACCAGGUAAGUUAUUAUUGAAUCAGGGAACAGUAGACAAUAGUACAAAUACAAUGCACAACAACUUCACCAUCUGACAUUAAUGAAAUGCAUUGCUCCAUUCGUGCAGUACAACAGUGACUGCCCACCCUUAGCGAGUCUUCUCCUCAACAGACAAUCUCUCUCUCUCUCUCUGGAUCUCGAAAAUAAAUGUGUUUUUUUUUUAUCAAUAACACAUUUCAGAAUAUGUUUAUGUAUAUCAGUAUAUGAAAAAAGCUUGUAUUUAUUGAGGCUUCAACAUGGAUUGCGAGAGAAAAUCUAAUAGUUGGUCGCAGGCUUUUCUCCUACGUGUCUGAACGGCAGUUAGUCAUUGGAAUGAGACUGGAAUACUUUUUCUUCGGCGUAAAUACACUUCUAUGCAGUCCAUCUUCAUCCUCUCUCUCUCUCUCUCUCUGGGUUUUGACUAAGUAAAAAUUUGGUGAGCAGUGAAAACUCUAUUGGAGUGUCUUGGAGUAGAACUUAACCUCUUCAUCUUGAAACAUAGGACGUUGCUUGGGGUGGGAGACUUGCUCUGAGAUCGAUAUUUUCCAUGAAGCUUUGAGGAGACCAGUUCAUUUCAGGAAGAGCAAAUCGAAAAAUCAUGACAAGCCAUGUCGUCAGAAGUUUCUUCUGUUUGCUUUGUUAUCCAGGCGUCAAUAGCUCAUUUCAGGCAGAGUUGAACCAGAUAUAAUGAUCUCAUGGCGUCAUUUGUUUUAUUUCCUUUUUUGUUUAUCUCUAGUGCUUUUCCUAAGCCGCAUUCCAGGUUACUUUUUUUUCUUCUCCUGUAACGGAGCUUCGACC